rfam:Brassica napus, WGS project CCCW01000000 data, contig: 23798
GGGUUCUUAGCUCAGUGGUAGGGCAAUUGACUGCAGAUCAAUAGGUUAGAGCCCU